GCCGACGUGGCGCAAUUGGUUAGCGCGUCAGACUUUUAAUCUGAAUGUUGCGAGUUCGAGUCUCGCCGUUGGCG
rfam:Chaetomium globosum CBS 148.51 scaffold_1 genomic scaffold, whole genome shotgun sequence.